GGAGGGGAGUCUUUCCCUGGAGGGCAAAGGGAGAAGAACUAGAUCUUAGAGAUGCAGCUAAGGCAGGGGUAGCAGAGGCUGUGCAAGUGCUAGGCUGAUGACUGCCAGACUGGGGCCCUGACAAAAAGGGGCAGAGAAGGUGCUGGGGCUAUGGGGAAGUGGCCCAGGGAAGCAGGCAGUAGAGGAGAGCUGGAGGAGGGUAGUAAGUAGCUGUCACUAGAGGGUCCCUGGGUUGGGACCCCCUUCUCCUCUUCCCCCCGCCUCCCCCACACUUGCAAGUGAUGAAAGUGUCGAAACCAGACUGCAGUUCGCUAGACUAAGGACUGCAGUGAGCUACUGAGGCGAGUGAUAGAACCAGAAGCUGCUGGUCCCCCUCAAGGGUGGGGAGAGCCAUCGGAGUGGGCACAGCUGGAGGGCAGUGUCCAGAAGCGGAUGCCUCAGUCCGGGAGUGACGGGGAUCCAAAGAGGUUGUGGAACAGCUGGGACUCAUGUGGAGAUGAGGCUGAGAGCGCUUUGGCUGAAGCCCUGUUGCUGCUGACUUAGAUGCAGACUGCUUGCCUGGCUUGAAAUUCACCUCUUUGCCCAGGACCAGCACAAGAUUUGUGGACCACUUAGGUUAUGAAAGCAAGAAUAUAUCGGUCCAUGAAUCAACAACUCUACAUGAGCUUCUUAGAAACCAUAUGCCCCCUCUGGCCCAACUUGAUCAUCAUACACAUUGUAAGGAGAGUGAUCACUUUAGAUAAGCUAUUAC